AACACAAGAGAGUUCGAGAUGUGACGCCAUGGGGAAGGAAGCCGGGAACUAUUCUCCGACAGGGUCUCACGUACAGCUUGGACUGACCUGGAACUUACUAUGUAGACCAGGCUGGCUCCAAAGCUCUAGAGAUCUGCCCGUCUCUCCUCACUUGUGGAAGCCAGAGGCUGUUGUCAGGUCACACAUCCGUAAAGGGAUUCAACACAGGUGACAGAGGUUUGUAGGAGUGACUUCAGAUGUAUGUAAGGCCGGGGAAGUUCAUGGUGACGAGCUCCUACCACGGUCCGGAAUGCAAAACCAUGGCCCAGAAUUCUUAUUCUGGGAUCAUGGCAGCUCUGACUGCGGGGCCCCAUCUGAUUCUAGGAAGACUCGGGCAUCGUCCAGAGCUGUCUGAGCUGCCACCGUAAAGUUGGGGUCGCCAGAGACUGAAACGUCAAAGACGCAAGACUGGAAGUAGGCGUCUUCCACCGGAAGCCCUUCCUUACACAGCCUUCUGGCAGUAUCGAAGGCUAUAGCCCCACGGCGGCUGCGCUCUGAGCGGGACAGUCGCUGACUCGGAGGGCAGCCGCCAACACACAGCUGUAGGUCCUGCUCCGCGGAGAAGGCCCGCGCCACAUCCUCAGCUACCCUGAUGGAGAAGGAGAGCUGCCCAGCUGUCUGUCGAAUGAUUAUAGUUGUCCCAAUAUAGGCUGCUCGGAUCUCCACAUGGCUCCCAGGGCUAGCAGUUUGAAUGAACAAACUCGAGCCCCCAGGUCGGUCGCCUCCAUUGACAGAACCGUCUUCAAAGGCUGCAGGAAGAUUGUCCACCUCGGCCUGGUAGACUUUCUGGUCAAUGCAUUCCUGCAUGUUCUUAAAUAUGAUGGUGAUCUGUGCGGGCAAAGAGGAAAAUAGUUCGUUAGGACUCAAUGCACCCCCCCCCAGUCAAGCAGCAUAUAUUGUCAGGGAUCUGAUCCCAGCAGAUGCACAGUGUCCUUGAUCCCAUCCCCUACGACCUUCCAAUAGCACCCGAGCCCUAUUCAACCCCUUGGUCUUUUGUUUUUCUCAAUCACAGCGACUCCCAAGGAAAUAAAGUGUCCCUUCUGACUCCUCA